rnacentral:rRNA from 1 species
UGAGGAAUAUUGGUCAAUGGGCGAGAGCCUGAACCAGCCAAGUAGCGUGCAGGAUGACGGCCCUAUGGGUUGUAAACUGCUUUUGUAUGGGGAUAAAGUCAAUCACGUGUGAUUGUUUGCAGGUACCAUACGAAUAAGGACCGGCUAAUUCCGUGCCAGCAGCCGCGGUAAUACGGAAGGUCCGGGCGUUAUCCGGAUUUAUUGGGUUUAAAGGGAGCGUAGGCUGGAGAUUAAGUGUGUUGUGAAAUGUAGACGCUCAACGUCUGACUUGCAGCGCAUACUGGUUUCCUUGAGUACGCACAACGUUGGCGGAAUUCGUCGUGUAGCGGUGAAAUGCUUAGAUAUGACGAAGAACUCCGAUUGCGAAGGCAGCUGACGGGAGCGCAACUGACGCUGAAGCUCGAAGGUGCGGGUAUCGAACAGGAUUAGAUACCCUGGUAGUCCGCACAGUAAACGAUGGAUGCCCGCUGUUGGUACCUGGUAUCAGCGGCUAAGCGAAAGCAUUAAGCAUCCCACCUGGGGAGUACGCCAGCAACGGUG